rnacentral:ncRNA from 1 species
AUUCUGGUGGAUCCUACCAGUGAUAUACGCUCGUCUCAAAGGUUAAGCCAUGCAUGUCUAAGUACAAGCUUCCUAGAAAGUGAAACCGCAUAAGGCUCAGUAUAACAGCUAUAAUUUACAAGAUCCUCAUCCAAACAGUUACUUGGAUAACUGUGGAAAAGCCAGAGCUAAUACAUGCAUUAUGCCGGGACUGUUGGCCUCCGGGUCGGCGGAACUGGUGCACUUAUUAGUUAAACCAAUCGCCUCCGGGCGCUUUGAGUUGAAAUCUGGAUAAGGAUGCCGAUCGUACGGUCGCUUGCGACUGACGACAGAUCUUUCAAAUGUCUGCCCUAUCAACUAUUGAUGGUAGUGUAGAGGACUACCAUGGUUGCGACGGGUAACGGGGAAUCAGGGUUCGAUUCCGGAGAGGGAGCCUGAGAAAUGGCUACCACAUCCAAGGAAGGCAGCAGGCGCGUAAAUUACCCAAUCCCGGCACGGGGAGGUAGUGACGAGAAAUAACAAUAUGGACCUCUCUAACGAUGGUCCAUAAUUGGAAUGAGUUGAGCAUAAAUCCUUUUGCAAGGAUCAAGUGGAGGGCAAGUCUGGUGCCAGCAGCCGCGGUAAUUCCAGCUC